GCCAGCAAUCGAAAAUCUCUCCUCCUCUGUACGAGAAGUCGGGCGAACAUGCAAGGAAAGAAGGAAGUUUCGCUCCUCGGAUUAUUCGCUGAGCAAGGGUCUCUGACGGCAAUAAAUAGAGGCUGCGACUGCCUCCUUAGGUGUGCUUUUCAAGGUGAAGACAACUCAAUCAGGCUCAAGGACAAUCAGAAGGAGGAUUGUGCAAACUGAGGUGAAGCUUUGAUCAAGCAACCGUCGCUGAAGUUCUGCUGGGGCUUUUGGAGACAGCUGGGGCGGAACUGGAUUAACGGUGGCUGCCGUGUCAAAGACCUGAAGAGUGUCAGGUUGUAAAGUCACUAGUUUUUUGGUUAAUUUGAAUCUAUAGUGUUUCUCUUGUUCAUGCAUCGAUGUUUCAGUACUAGAAAACCUGCAUGCUAGAUUACUCACUUAAGUGGUUAAAGUUAGAGUCAGUUUCCACUAUCAGUGCUUUGCUAUUCAGUAAACUUCAAGAACCAGUUUCAAAUCUUUCUGUGACCUAAAUAUUCAAUACUUGUCCAUCCAGAUCAGAUAACAGUAUCUUAACCAUAAGGAUCAGAUUACAACAGUAGUUUGGGAGCUUUUCAUAUUUGAAACGGGCAGUGACGACUUGUCCUUCUGAUCGUUAAUCUUCUUUUCCCUCUUCAGCUGAUUUUGCGCAUCCAUUUGGGCUCAGAAGUGUUUCACGGUGUUCUCUCCAUCAUAGUAUUAGGUCGUGCCGUAUGAUAUCAAACAACUGAUGAAGUUUCCUAGUGUGCGAGCUACAGGCUCCACGAAGAACCCGCGAAGUAGAUCGUAUGUAAGUACCCAAAAAUCAGUUUGUCGUAGCGGAAUCAACGCCGGAGACUCACCCAUCUCAUGUGUGAUGAGCAGACAACCAUUGUGAGUCCAGAAAGCCAUUGUUGAUGAUCCAACGCACAUCGAGCUUAUGAUAGAAUUUGAAUAGAAAGCAUUUUCCACCUAGAUCACGAAUAGCUAUCCUUUUUUCGGGCGCUAAAUUUCCGAUAUCCUAUAUUUCCCCACAUCAUACUUAAAGAUGCGAUCGAUAAGGAACUCACCAACCACACACAUCGAAUAAUUUUCAGUGACCUGUUCGUGUUGAUCAAGUCCCUCAAUUUCCUCUACCUGGUCUUCAAUCGCCGCUAGUGUCGGCCCCGGUAUCAGGUCUUCAAUAGCGCGGAGCGUAGCCGGAGACGGCGAGCAAGAAGGAUGGGCGGCGGCAGAUUGCGGCUAGAGAAACGAGCUUCCUGCCUUGCUCUAUGGAGGCAGAUUUCUGAGUUGAUGGUGAUGGAUUUAUGAUAGUAUUGCUAUUGGAUGGACAGUAAGUACUUUACAUUCAUAAAUUUUAUAGAUGAUUGAGUUUGCAUUCAUGAUAUUUGUUUCUCCAAUAAUAUAUAAUAUAUUCAAUUAUUAUUUUUGAUAAAU
rnacentral:lncRNA from 1 species